GUUGGCUUCCUGCCGCCCUGGAGCAUGUUGGGAAGCUGUUUUCAUCAGUUGAAACCUUUGAAGACCCCUAAAAUACAACUGAAAAUCGCGACCUCGCAGGCUUACAGACUAUAGAGCUGGAAAGGCCCUUAGGAAACAACCAGAGCACAGCAAAGGUGUCAGCUGCUGUGAAGCGAAACUUCUCCAAUGCUGCCCAAACCAGAUUAAAAUGUCACUGGGAAAAGUUUUUAAAAAUAAAGACAACACAGCACAGAUGAGGCUAGUUGAAUUUUCCGAGGAGAAUUCACCAAUUGCUGUUUAUCCCAGAGGAAGAAAGAAAGGAA